UACGGAGGGAGCUAGCGUUAUUCGGAAUUACUGGGCGUAAAGCGCACGUAGGCGGCUUUGUAAGUAAGAGGUGAAAGCCCAGAGCUCAACUCUGGAAUUGCCUUUUAGACUGCAUCGCUUGAAUCAUGGAGAGGUCAGUGGAAUUCCGAGUGUAGAGGUGAAAUUCGUAGAUAUUCGGAAGAACACCAGUGGCGAAGGCGACUCACUGGACACGGUAUUGACGCUGAGGUGCGAAAGCGUGGGGAGCAAACAGG
rnacentral:rRNA from 1 species